rnacentral:misc_RNA from 1 species
UCCGGUUUGUCACCGGCAGUCUCGCAUGAGUCCCCAACUAAAUGCUGGCAACAUGCGACGGGGGUUGCGCUCGUUGCGGGACUUAACCCAACAUCUCACGACACGAGCUGACGACAGCCAUGCAGCACCUGUGCACGAGCUCCGAAGAGGGGCCAUGGUUUCCCACAGCUUUCCCGUACAUGUCAAGCCCAGGUAAGGUUCUACGCGUUGCGUCGAAUUAAACCACAUGCUCCACCGCUUGUGCGGGCCCCCGUCAAUUCCUUUGAGUUUCAGCCUUGCGGCCGUACUCCCCAGGCGGGGCACUUAAUGCGUUAGCGCCGGCACUCAGGGGGUCGCUCCCCCAAGCACCUAGUGCCCAUCGUUUACGGCGUGGACUAC